GUGUGAAGGGAAUUCUUUUGAGGGGCUUCAGCAAGUGCUUUCUUUGCUGAUUAAAAAACAAACAAAUCGGGGCCAGCGCCGUGGCUGAGUGGUUAAGUUCUUGUGCUCCACUUCAGCGGCCCAGGAUUUCACUGGUUCAGAUCCUGGGCCCGGACAUGGCACCACUAAUCAGGCUGUGCUGAGGUGGCGUCCCACAUAGCACAACCAGAGGCACUCUCAACUAGAAUAUACAACUAUGUAACUGGGGGCCUUUGGAGAGAAGAAGAAGGAAAAAAAGAAAAACAGACAAAUAGGAAUAAACAAUUCCAUGCUACAUUCUGAUGUUUUCUUGUCUAUCUUUGCUGCAUGGAACUCUGCAACCAUCAUGAAACCAUGAAAAGAACAAGCCAGUGGAUAGCCAAUGUGCUGAAGAUGGCAGAGCUGAAAGAUGGAAGGAAUGUAGGUCCUUGAUCCAAUGGGAAGCACUGAUAAGAGACUGGAAAAAAGAAGCCAAGGGUCCCAGUUCCUGCUGGAAAGUCCCUGCCUUUUCUCAGUGGCUUCUGUGUUUGCCUCCCUGUCACAUUUGGUCUUUCAGCACUCCUGACAUGUUUGUAAUUAAUUUUCCAUAUUA
rnacentral:lncRNA from 1 species